rnacentral:rRNA from 1 species
AACGAACGCUGGCGGCAGGCUUAACACAUGCAAGUCGAACGCGUGCAGCAAUGCACGAGUGGCGCACGGGUGAGUAACGAGUGGAUAUCUGCCUUUUGGCUCGGAAUAACCCCGGGAAACUGGGGCUAAUACCGGAUGGUUCCUACGGGAUAAAGAUUUAUCGCCAAAAGAUGAGUCCGCGUCCGAUUAGCUAGUUGGUGAGGUAAUGGCUCACCAAGGCGACGAUCGGUAGCUGGUCUGAGAGGACGAUCAGCCACACUGGGACUGAGACACGGCCCAGACUCCUACGGGAGGCAGCAGUGGGGAAUAUUGGACAAUGGGGGCAACCCUGAUCCAGCCAUGCCGCGUGAGUGAUGAAGGCCUUCGGGUUGUAAAGCUCUUUUGGCGGGGACGAUGAUGACGGUACCCGCAGAAUAAGCCCCGGCUAACUUCGUG